UACAGAGGGGGCAAGCGUUGUUCGGAAUUACUGGGCGUAAAGGGCGCGUAGGCGGCCUUCUAAGUCGAACGUGAAAUCCCCGGGCUCAACCCGGGAACUGCGUCCGAUACUGGAAGGCUUGAAUCCGGGAGAGGGAUGUGGAAUUCCAGGUGUAGCGGUGAAAUGCGCAGAUAUCAGGAAGAACACCCGUGGCGAAGGCGGCUCUCUGGGACGGUACUGACGCUGAGACGCGAAAGCGUGGGGAGCGAACAGG
rnacentral:rRNA from 1 species